rnacentral:SRP_RNA from 1 species
GUCAGGUGUGCUGAUGUGCACCUGUAGUUCCAGCUACUCGGGAGGCUGAGACAGGAGGAUCACUUGAGCCCUGGAGUUCAAGGCUGCAGUGAGCUGUGAUCACACCACUGUAGUUUAGCCUGGGCAACACAGUGAGACCCUGUCUCAA